GCCAGGUGUGGUGGCUCACACCUGUAAUCCCAGCACUUUGGGAGGCUGAGGCAGGUGGGUCACCUGAGGUCAGGAGUUUGAGACCAGCCUGGCCAACAUGGUGAAACCCUGUCUCUA
rnacentral:SRP_RNA from 1 species